rnacentral:rRNA from 1 species
UACGUAGGGGGCGAGCGUUACCCGGAUUCACUGGGCGUAAAGCGUGCGCAGGCGGCCCGUUAAGACAGGGGUGAAAACCGUGGGCUCAACCUACGGCUUGCCCUUGAUACUGGUCGUCUUGAGUACAGGAGAUGGAAGCGGAAUUCCCGGUGUAGCGGUGAAAUGCGUAGAGAUCAGGAGGAACACCGAUGGCGAAGGCAGCCCCCUGGGCCUGUACUGACGCUCAUGCACGAAAGCGUGGGGAGCAAACAGG